CAGACAGGGAUGAGCAGAGAUUUCUGCCCAGGGGAGACUGGCAGGGCUGGGCUGCAGGAAGAAGAAUGUUGCAGCAGCUGUAGGAGAACCGGGGCUGGGGAGAGACCAGCCCUAAAGCAACUGCACGUCCAGGCAAGAGGUGGUGCAGGCUCAGCGUCAGAUGCUGACGCUGUAAACUCCACAAGGGCAGAAACUUAACCGACUGGGCUUUUAGCCAGGCACUGCCCAGCAGUACGAGCACUGCCAAGCAUGACUGCGGAGCUCGGGCUGCAUGACCUUUUCAGAGCGACUCCGGGUGGGAUGCUGCUGGAAAAGAAGCCCUCCCGGGCCGCCAGCGAGGGUGACAAAUGUGACCAGUUAUUUCAACUUCCUCCCUAAUGGCAGAAGAGAAACUUCCAGGCUCUACAACGGGAGUGAUCAUCUUCUCUCGCAGUGGUUGCGAGGACAGAAUGAAGUGACUCGUUUUUUUGAAUGUGCACCGUGGCUCUUGUGCUGCUGCUUCUACUGAAAGACGCACAAGGCUGACAGCGAACCUCACCACGGCUGCUGUCAGCUCAGUGGCUCAAGAGAAAGGAAAGCCUCACUUUCUAAGUGACAUUAAGUAUAAUAUUAGACUCCUGGGAAGCUCUUAGAAAUGCCGAGAAGUCCCACUUAAUAUCUCCGUAAAAGUCCACUUACCUUUUCAUUGUCCCUACACUUGAAAGAGUUUUGUAUUUAAUUU